UUAAAUUGAAGAGUUUGAUCAUGGCUCAGAUUGAACGCUGGCGGCAGGCCUAACACAUGCAAGUCGAGCGGUAGCACAGAGAGCUUGCUCUCGGGUGACGAGCGGCGGACGGGUGAGUAAUGUCUGGGAAACUGCCUGAUGGAGGGGGAUAACUACUGGAAACGGUAGCUAAUACCGCAUAACGUCGCAAGACCAAAGUGGGGGACCUUCGGGCCUCAUGCCAUCAGAUGUGCCCAGAUGGGAUUAGCUAGUAGGUGGGGUAACGGCUCACCUAGGCGACGAUCCCUAGCUGGUCUGAGAGGAUGACCAGCCACACUGGAACUGAGACACGG
rnacentral:rRNA from 1 species